CACUGACAUUAGAUACCCGGGUAGUCCUAGCCGUAAACGAUACUCGCUAGGUGUCGGCCACGGUGCGACCGUUGUCGGUGCCGUAGGGAAGCCGUGAAGCGAGCCACCUGGGAAGUACGGCCGCAAGGCUGAAACCUAAAGGAAUUGGCGGGGGAGCACCACAACGGGUGGAGCUUGCGGUUUAAUUGGAUUCAACGCCGGAAAUCUUACCGGGACCGACAGCAACAUGAAGGCCAGGCUGAAGACUUUGCCGGAUUAGCUG
rnacentral:rRNA from 1 species